AGCGAACGCUGGCGGCAGGCUUAACACAUGCAAGUCGAGCGCCCGUAGCAAUACGGGAGCGGCAGACGGGAGAGUAACACGUGGGAACAUGCCCUUCGGUUCGGAAUAACUCAGGGAAACUUGAGCUAAUACCGGAUACGUCCGUAAGGAGAAAGAUUUAUCGCCGAAGGAUUGGCCCGCGUCCGAUUAGCUUGUUGGUGAGGUAAUGGCUCACCAAGGCGACGAUCGGUAGCUGGUCUGAGAGGAUGAUCAGCCUCACUGGGACUGAGACACGGCCCAGACUCCUACGGGAGGCAGCAGUGGGGAAUAUUGGACAAUGGGCGAAAGCCUGAUCCAGCCAUGCCGCGUGGGUGAUGAAGGCCUUAGGGUUGUAAAGCCCUUUCGGCGGGGAAGAUAAUGACGGUACCCGCAGAAGAAGCCCCGGCUAACUUCGUGCC
rnacentral:rRNA from 1 species